rnacentral:rRNA from 1 species
AAUGAACGCUGGCGGCGUGCUUACACAUGCAAGUCGAACGAGAAAUCUUUAGCUUGCUGGAGAAAGUAAAGUGGCGCACGGGUGAGUAACGCGUGGGUAAUCUGCCUCCGAAUCGGGGAUAACAUUGCGAAAGCGAUGCUAAUACCGGAUAAAAUCUGGUUGGCUUCGGUGAACCGGAUCAAAGGUGGUCUCUUUUAAAAAGCUACCGUUUGGAGAUGAGCUCGCGUACCAUUAGCUUGUUGGUGGGGUAAAGGCUCACCAAGGCGACGAUGGUUAGCUGGUCUGAGAGGAUGAUCAGCCACACCGGAACUGGAACACGGUCCGGACUCCUACGGGAGGCAGCAGUGAGGAAUUUUGCGCAAUGGGGGAAACCCUGACGCAGCAACGCCGCGUGAGUGAUGAAGGCUUUCGGGUCGUAAAGCUCUGUCAGGUGGGAAGAACCCACCAGGUGUAAACAUCACCUGGUGCUGACGGUACCACCGAAGGAAGCACCGGCUAACUCCGUGCCAGCAGCCGCGGUAAUACGGGGGGUGCGAGCGUUAUUCGGAAUCAUUGGGCGUAAAGGGCGCGCAGGCGGUUUUGUAAGUCAGAUGUGAAAUCCCGGGGCUUAACCCCGGAAGUGCAUAUGAAACUAUGAGACUUGAGUAUGGGAGAGGGAAGCGGAAUUCCUGGUGUAGCGGUGAAAUGCGUAGAUAUCAGGAGGAACACCGGUGGCGAAGGCGGCUUCCUGGACCAAUACUGACGCUGAGGCGCGAAGGCGUGGGGAGCGAACAGGAUUAGAUACCCUGGUAGUCCACGCAGUAAACGUUGAUCACUAGGUGUAGCGGGUAUUGACCCCUGCUGUGCCGGAGUUAACGCAUUAAGUGAUCCGCCUGGGGAGUACGAUCGCAAGAUUAAGACUCAAAGGAAUUGACGGGGGCCCGCACAAGCGGUGGAGCAUGUGGUUUAAUUCGAAGCAACGCGCAGAACCUUACCUACCCUUGACAUGCCCGGUUUGGUUGCCAGAGAUGGCUUCCUUGAUUCGUUCGCCGGUGCACAGGUGCUGCAUGGCUGUCGUCAGCUCGUGUCGUGAGAUGUUGGGUUAAGUCCCGCAACGAGCGCAACCCUCAUCCUUAGUUGCCAUCAGGUUUGGCUGGGCACUCUAAGGAAACUGCCGGUGGCAAGCCGGAGGAAGGUGGGGAUGACGUCAAGUCCUCAUGGCCCUUACGGGUAGGGCUACACACGUGCUACAAUGGCAGUGACAAUGGGA